GUUGAGACACCGGUUUGUGUACGAUCACCGAAGUUAAGCAACGUCGAGCCUGGUCAGUACUUAGAUGAGUGACCGCUUGGGAAUAACCAGGUGUUGUAA
rnacentral:rRNA from 1 species